UGCAGUCGUACGGCAACACAGUUGCGAGCAAUCGCAACCGGUGGCGAGUGGCGCACGGGUGAGUAACGCGUAUGUAACCUACCCUUCUCCGGGACAUAACUCCGCGAAAGCGGUGCUAAUAUCCCAUACCAACUCAUCAAGACAUCUUCUUGAGUUGAAAGCAGCAAUGCGGUGAAGGAUGGGCAUGCGUCCCAUUAGCUGGUUGGUGAGGUAAUGGCCCACCAAGGCUACGAUGGGUAGGGGUUCUGAGAGGAAAGCCCCCCACACUGGUACUGAGACACGGACCAGACUCCUACGGGAGGCAGCAGUAAGGAAUAUUGGGCAAUGGUCGAAAGACUGACCCAGCCAUGCCGCGUGCAGGAUGAAGGCCCUAUGGGUUGUAAACUGCUUUUAGCCGGGAAUAAACACCCGUUUUAUAACGGGCCCGAAGGUACCGGCUGAAUAAGCAUCGGCUAACUCCGUGCCAGCAGCCGCGGUAAUACGGAGGAUGCAAGCGUUAUCCGGAUUCACUGGGUUUAAAGGGUGCGCAGGCGGACAUUUAAGUCAGGGGUGAAAUCCUACAGCUUAACUGUAGAACUGCCCUUGAUACUGAAUGCCUAGAGUAAAGCUGAAGUGGGCGGAAUGUGUUGUGUAGCGGUGAAAUGCUUAGAUAUAACACAGAACACCAAUCGCGAAGGCAGCUCACUAAACUUUAACUGACGCUCAUGCACGAAAGCGUGGGGAGCAAACAGGAUUAGAUACCCUGGUAGUCCACGCCCUAAACGAUGAUCACUCGCUGUUG
rnacentral:rRNA from 1 species